GAUGAACGCUGGCGGCGUGCCUAAUACAUGCAAGUCGAGCGAAUGGAUUAAGAGCUUGCUCUUAUGAAGUUAGCGGCGGACGGGUGAGUAACACGUGGGUAACCUGCCCAUAAGACUGGGAUAACUCCGGGAAACCGGGGCUAAUACCGGAUCACAUUUUGAACCGCAUGGUUCGAAAUUGAAAGGCGGCUUCGGCUGUCAGUUAUGGAUGGACCCGCGUCGCAUUAGCUAGUUGGUGAGGUAACGGCUCAACAAGGCAACGAUGCGUAGCCGACCUGGGAGGGUGAUCGGCCACACUGGGACUGAGACACGGCCCAGACUCCUACGGGAGGCAGCAGUAGGGAAUCUUCCGCAAUGGACGAAAGUCUGACGGAGCAACGCCGCGUGAGCGAUGAAGGCUUUCGGGUCGUAAAACUCUGUUGUUAGGGAAGAACAAGUGCUAGUUGAAUAAGCUGGCACCUUGACGGUACCUAACCAGAAAGCCACGGCUAACUACGUGCCAGCCGCCGCGGUAA
rnacentral:rRNA from 1 species